rnacentral:rRNA from 1 species
UGGGGAAUCUUGGACAAUGGGCGCAAGCCUGAUCCAGCCAUGCCGCGUGGAUGAUGAAGGCCUUAGGGUUGUAAAAUCCUUUCGCCGAGGACGAUAAUGACGGUACUCGGAGAAGAAGCUCCGGCUAACUUCGUGCCAGCAGCCGCGGUAAUACGAAGGGGGCUAGCGUUGUUCGGAUUUACUGGGCGUAAAGCGCGUGUAGGCGGGUCGUUAAGUUGGGGGUGAAAUCCCGAGGCUCAACCUCGGAACUGCCUUCAAAACUGGCGACCUGGACCUAAGUAGAGGCAAGUGGAAUUGCGAGUGUAGAGGUGAAAUUCGUAGAUAUUCGCAGGAACACCAGUGGCGAAGGCGACUUGCUGGACUUAUGGUGACGCUGAGACGCGAAAGCGUGGGGAGCAAACAGGAUUAGAUACCCGUGUAGUCCCUGAGCGGGCUGGCAAGGCGCAU